rnacentral:misc_RNA from 1 species
AAGUCGUAACAAGGUUUCCGUAGGUGAACCUGCGGAAGGAUCAUUACCAAGGGAACUCCCAUUACUGGGGUCGCUCUCUAACAACUUUUGUGUGCACCGUUACUGGGACUUGGUGUGGGGAUUGUGGUGUGCCGUUACUGGCACAUCUGGUCGCCGCACUGCUUUCGUACCUACUGCUCUCUGUAUGCUUAACUGAACGCCUUUAGUGAACUUGUGAAAACUUUUAGCAAUGGAUCUCUAGGCUCUU